UUUUCUAUAAUUCUUCCAAGGUAACUGAAAGUGAAUGAUCAGCAGAAUCUUUGUAGGAGAACAUGAGAAAGAAGUCAAGAAAUCAUGGGUCAAGAGAUCAUAGAUGAAAUGUAAUUUGUACCAUUGGAAGGACCACUGGCAUCAUGGAAUCUACAGAUCCAUUAAAAUCUUGAGGAGGAUUCACCAUCUUGAGGUCUGCAUGAAAGAGAAGUUCUGGGCAUAGCAAGAGACGUCAAUAAAGCUUCUUCCUGUAACAGAGCACUGAGCACGAUGGGACAACGGGAACACUACUCCAGAUGAUGAACCUGGGAUUGGAAACCAUAAAGUGACCCGUUGAAGACCAUGUAAAUAUUAAAAGGCAAAGAUGAGACUCAAA